CUGAUCUCAUUAGUCUGAUUGUUAAGCUUUCCCAUGCACUAGUCUGAUUCUUAUCUCCCAUCCAUUCGGUGAUGCCGGCAGUCCAUAUUUCGUGGGUGUGAAAUCGGAAGUGAUCAAACGAGUAAUUCGUGUGAGUGCUGAUGCAUUAUCAGUCGAGACGUACGUGAACCUCGAACCCACUCAAACAAUAGCCGUUCUGUCGCAGCUGGCCGCAAAAUUCUACCACCGGGUUGCUCCAGUCCGUACCGGAUGAUGAUCCACCGCUGAUCCAGUUCCGUGCCCUGCAGUACGCAUUAUUUAAGCACCUGCUUCGUGGAGAUCCUUGGGGGUGUGUUUUUCCUGAUUACAGUGAUGUACAUCGAUCGGGAUAGGGCACUGGUAGAGGCUGUUGUACUAGAAGUAACGUUACAAAUCGAAGACUGUUCGAAGGUGGUUGCGGUUGAAGAGAAGUCCUAUUCAAACACUUUGUACGUCAAAUUUCAACGUUCAACGUUCAACUUUCAACAUUCAGACAGAUAUUACAGCGCCAACUAGAUCAUUUCCACUCUCCGUACUUCAUGUUCAACUUUCAAUAUUCAGACAGAUAUUACAGUGCCGACUAGAUCAUUUCCACUCUCCGUACUUCAUAUUGCAACGGCGUGUUUAGUGUUUAGCGUGAAUGUGCAACGGGUUAGGUCUUACAGUAUUAUAAUGAAAAUAAAAUAGUGAACGCGCAGAAGAACAUAAAUCGCCAGUGCGCUAUUCGGUGGGAGUUUCUAGGUGGGACGGGUUAUACGAAAGCAAUAGUCUGUGAAAACGAAUGUCGGGGGCCAUUUAUUGCUGGAAAAAUUUUCUAACGAUGCGAUGUUUUAGAAUAAGGGGUGACAUCCAUUUCGGCUGUUGGUGGUAAUUAUUCAAAUUAAAAAGUGUUCGAAAGGGUAAAGCAACACAAAGCAAACGUUUUAAGCGUUAAAUUUGACUGAAAAUCAGAAUAAUACGUACGUGUGAUAAAGGUGCUAAAAUGGCUCUAAAGCUUCACAAUGACACAAUUUGGAAAGGGGGAACAGCGCUUUGGAGUGGCAGUUAGUGAGGGUUUGCUACCCUGUAUGCGAACUCCACCUGUAACAAAAGGCUGCCCGUUAUGAUAUAUUUCCAUAUUGCUUAAUUCGUUUUUGCUAGCACUUUUCCCGGUGCUUGUGAGUUAAAAUUUAAUUAACCUUUUCUUCAUUUUUUUUUGUUGAAAUAGUAAAAUCGUGGUGAAUUUUAUGUUGAGGCAUUAGCAAGAAAAUAAGUUACAAUAUGUUAGAAUGUAUACAAAAUUAUAGAACACUCAAUCACUAAUAGGGCGGGUUUGGAUAAACCAUUUACAGGCGUGAACUAUCGUCAAUUAUUGGGAAACGGUAAUUUUUCUAGGGUACAGAGGAAAGGCAGAUAAACAUUGUAAAACAAAAAGAAGACAACAAACAAACAUUAUUUAUUAUUAGAUUCUCGUUAGCCGUUAAUGGAUUAUUGUGGUUUUAUUUAAAUUGUAAUUGUUAUUCACUGUUUUUAAAGUUGUCGCAACAAUGAAC